UGGGUAUAGAGAGUACAACGGGGGGAGAGAGAGAGAGAGAUGAUGCCAGGACGAGGAAGGACAUCGACAAGGGGAACAGAGGCGACGGACUACUCGAGUGUCAACGAUUUGGCAACGGCUUUUUUAUAGCUUUCGUUGAGAUAGCUCGUUUCAAAGUCGCGUGGCACAAGGCAUAAUCGUUUGGGUAUUUCAUAAAGAAAUUAAAUGAGUAUGAAAUUAAAAAGAAACGAAGGAGCGAUCGAAAAAAUAAGAUCGACUUGUCGUGGAUCGAUCGAUCUAUCGACGAAAUCUUAUUGCGAUACUCGGACCUGUACGAGAGAAAACUGAUAACUACGCGGCAGUCUGGAAGUAUUAAGGAAGAGAGACAAAGAGGGGUGAUAGCGCGGAGGAAGGGAGAGCGGAGCGAUGGACGAGGAAUAAAGAGAGGGGGGAGAAAGAGAGUAAACUGGGUCAGUGUCGUGGAACUUGAAAACUUCACUUCCGUAAUGCGAGAGCGGCGCUGACUGCCGCCUCGAAGUCGCUUAAACUGCGUUUACGAGUCAACGGGAAGGAGAAGCCAACAAGGAUGACGAUAACGAAGACUCGAUCGAAGGGGAAGAAGCACGAAGCGCAAUACGCGUGAACAGAGGGACGCACCACGCGUGUGCGUCCUCUCUCUUUCUCUCUCUCUCUAUAUAUAUAUAUAUAUAUAUGUACGUAUCUCCAUCUCAUUCACUCUUCUUAGCUUUUGUCUUUUUCCUUUUCCCGAGCAACACGCGCUGCGCGUACUGCCCGUCCGUUGACGUAGAUAAACCGUCGCCAACGAUGCUAUAUUUACGAUCUUUCUUAUAACGAGUGCGUGGAUAUUCCGAGGAAAUACGAAGAGUCUUUCUCUCUCUCUCUCUCUAUGGUGUAAAAAGAUAGAAAGAGAAAAGAAUCGCUUGCCGUUCUCUGCCGCCGAACGACGAGCAUUCUCGUUACGUAACAUUUUACCAUUCUCGUUUCAUCUUCUUGUUAUCUGAUUUUUUUUCCUCUCUUUUUCCUUCUUUUCUCCUUCUCUCGUACAUAUCCGUAGACGAAAUAGAAAAAAAAGAAAAAGAAAUAAACGACUCGGAAAAGAUACCGAGAGGAGAGAUAAUCGAUCGAGAAUUACUCUCGUUAAAAACUAUUUUAUCACGCGUACGUUUUAUAAAGAGGCUGAAACUGGAAAGAGAGAGAGAGAGAGAGAUACUGAUUCAAAUAACCUGUGUUAUACGUAUAUCCAAAAGCAGCGGUUGAGAAUUCGCGGUUCGCGAAGCAAACACCGAAGGUCUCUCUCUCUCUCUCUCUCCAUCCAGUGGUCUCGUUUUCUCGUUUAAUAACCGGUAGGAGGAAGAGACCGGGGGAGUUAGGAGCGAAGAGGAGUACAAGGAGGAAGAGAAAGAUCGUUCGACCGGCAGAGUACGUAGCGCGAGAAGAAGGAAAGGAGAGUUCGUUCGCGCUUACGUAGACGCAACGCGCCGCGCACGUAAGCCUGAAAACACGGGUGGUAGUGCUCUCUCUCUCUCUCUCUCUCUUUCUUACUCUGCUCUUCUCUUGGCUCUCCUCUCGUUUCUACGCCCCUCUUUAGGUCGCGCGCGCGACCGUUCGAUCCUUUGCGUCGUCGUUGUGUCGUCGGCGUCGUCGUCGUCAGCGACAACGACUACGACAACGACGACGACGACGACGACGACGACGACGACGACGACGACGAGGACGGCGACGGCGACGAUGACGACGACGACGAGGUGCGAGGUGGAGAGCGUAGAUGGAGGGUGACCGACGUGGUCGUAGGGAGAGAGAAAGGAGAGAGAGAGAGAGAGAGAGAGAAGUGGAAGAAGGAUAGGAAGGGCCGUUAUUUAGCCGGCCGCGCGCACGGCCCUUCGCGACCCACCGUCCUCCGCUCGCCCUCCAGAGUGGCUCCCACCUUCACCCUUCGUUCGCCCUUCUCUUCCUACUCGUAAACCUUCUCUCUUACCCCCGCGUUCACCCUCGCGUCUCCUUCAAUCUCUCUUUCUCUCUCCCUUGCGCCCACGGUCGCUGCCGUUCUUCGGGAUGUGGCAGGAUGCGGUGCGGUGCGACGCUGCGGGGCGGCAGACUCACGGCUGCUCUUCACGACUCCCUCUCUAUCUCUCCCUCUCUCUCUCUCUCUCUCUCUGUCGUUCUCUCGCGUUUCUCUUCUACGCUUCACUCCACCUCCUCUCCACGUCACUCUAUAGCACGGAAAAGCUCGCCCGGCUCGUCGUCCACGAACGGAACGGAACGGAACGAAGCGAAGCGAGUCUGUGACGUUGGCUGUCCGUCGUUCGGCGAAAUCCCGUGCUAAUUAAAGCCCGCCUCGAUGCCCGUCUCCGACCGGGGCGACAGAGCCGACGGCUAUCUCCCUCUAUCUCUCUCUCCUUCUCUCUCUCUCUCUCUCUCUCUUGCUCUAACACUCUCUCGCUCCCUUUGCGAAUGGCCGCACGAAGGAGAGAAAAUUAAGAAGACUCUGGGUCGGCUCCUUCGGCCUAUUGUGCCUUGCGAUGGUUGAGAGAGACGAAGAUGGAGAGUGGUAGUCCUCGUAACGGUACCAGACCGUCAAACUUUUCUUCCCUCUCCCUCCCUCUCUCUCUCUCUCUCUCUCUCUCGCUUCGUUCGCCUUUCUGCAUUACGCACGACGUCCGACCAAGAGAUAAAUUUGUGCUGGAUUUUAUCUAGAUACAUUCCUCGCACGAACUUUUCGGACUCACGACGGUUCACGUUGAUCUUUCUUAUUCUCUCCUCUCUCUUUUGUUUCUUUUUGUAUUCGUCAUCUAUCCAUCCGUCUCUCUUUCUCUCUCUCUCUCUCUCUCUCUCUGUAUUUCCCUGUAGGCCAAUCGAAGUGAAAACUAUAGACGCGUUAAAUACGAGGAUAGGAAGUGUUUCUGGCUUGCUCGUCCGUAUAGCGUUUAAAUAGUUUUUCUUUUCUUCCUUUGUCUUAAGGAGCCAUUUAAACUACCGAUCAGCUGACAAUGCCGACGUUUCACCGUUGCCUCGUAGGCAUUCUUGAAAAUUGUAUACAAUAUAUGCGUACUCGUAGAACAAUAUUUAGGUAUAUGUUUACUUUCGAAAAACAGGCCUUUCGACUUUGCGCGCUUUUUUCUUUUGUUUGUUUUUUUUUCUAUUUUACGAAUCAGUGCACGAUUCGUAAGAUAUUGCGACGAGUUCCUAGUUCGAUUGGUCCUCGUUGACGCCUUGUUUUUUUCAAAAGUACCAUCGGCUCGAUAACGAUAUAUCUAAUCUUUGUUUCGGAUACAUUCGUAUUCGUUCGAGUCCAAUUCCGUAAACAAAGCGUCGUCACGAAGGACGCGAUAAUAAAGAGCAAGCACGUUGGAUUUCCAGUCGGCCGAAAACUCAUUGUUUUAUCAUAUUUACUUUUUAUAUUUUCCAUCCAUCCAAUUCGUAUAUAUUGAGAUUAGGAUAAGAGCGCGAGCUUGGUAGAGAAUUAAUUUCUCCUUAUAAAAAUGCUCUUAAUAAUCCUUCUCCAUUUUCUUUUUUUCCUUUUUUUUAUAACUACGAAUACAUUUUUCCUCGCUAUAAUAUAUUGGCCGAGAUAAUACGAGUAUACUAGUGGUGCGCGUGCUCGUUAAAAGCAGAUUUGUAUAUGGCUAUGGUUCACGAGGUUAUUCGCGCGAACGGAAAGGGAACGCACGUGAAACUGUAAACACGACCUUGCGACUUUACGGUCGUUUGCGAAGUCGUUCCACGUAUCUCUCUUACUCUUUCUCUCCUGCUCUCGCGGAAAUACGCAUAUCUCUUUUUUCUUCUUUCUUUUUCAAUUAAUUUCUCACCGUUAUAUCAUACUUUGUGAUAAACUAAUUGAAUUUUACGAUAACGAACUUCAUUGACGAUUUGGACCUUGGAAAUAAGUAGUUGCUCGUUCUCUCUCUCUCUCUCUCUCUCUCUGCCCCUUUCACCCUUUCUCUCGUUUUUCUUUCCUUUCUAUUCCCUCGACGGUAACCUCGUCAUGAAUUCCGAGAGAGCUGAGUAAUGUUAGUUCCAAUUCGUCAAUUAACCAAACGAAAUUUUUCCUCCGAGCGCAGAAGCGUCCUAACCCUAAAGGGGAUCGCAUAGGAGAAACGGCGACGUAAUACACGGCUUUCUCUCGCGUGAAAUUUAAAGGCGUUCGUGUCUCUCUCUCUCUCUCUCUCUCUCUCUCUCUCUCUCUUUUUCUUGCCCUCUCACGUUUCCUCUCGUGAGAGAGGACCAGGCCCUCGAUCGAUCCAAGCCCGCAUAGUCGUGAGCGUACAGAAGCCUUCUUGUUUGUCGGCGGCAACGCUGGCCAGCCGUUGAGGAAAAAGUUUUUAUUGCUUGGAUUUUCCCCAUAAUCUUGAGUAAUUAACGGGCAACCCUGAGGCCCAUACUUCGAGGUCCGUGCAAAAUUGUAAGGAAAGUGAGAUUAAGAGAAAGGACAGAAUAAAAGAGAGAGAGAGAGAGAGGCCCUUCUACCGAAAACCUAAAGUCUUCCCAUAUUUUUCUUUUUUGUUCUUCUUCUUCUUCUAUUCCUCUUUCUCCCUCACAACACCCUUCCCUCUUUCUCGAGUAGAGACGCGAGCUAGCCGUCGCGACUAACGAUUCUCCACCGUAUUUUCUUCCCUCCUACCCUUCUCUUUCUCUUCAUCGUUCCCUGGCCGCUUCUCUCUUUCUCUCUCUCUCUCUCUCUCCUAGUCUGGCUUAUUCUAGAGAGGAGAGAGUCUAGACCCUCCUUUUCUUCGUCGUCGACUUAACGGCCGCACCUGCCGCUGCUACCAUCGAGUGACGUCGUUUCGACGACGACGACGACGACGAGGAGAAAUGUUCGAUCCACGUGAAUACUUUUCGAGGUUGGCAAAAAAAAGAAGCGGAGAAACAUCUAUACUCCUCUUAAGAUUUUGUAUCGAAUGAUCCGAUCAUUCGUCAUUAUAUGUAUCUCAUGGAUAAGAAAUAAGGGAGUAUUUAGUUCCUUUCGAUUACCAUCGUAGUAAUCGAUAUUACGAAUACAAGUGUCGAUGAAGUGGGAUACAUUACGAUGGUUCGUAAAAGAAAAAAAAUGUAUAUUUAUUUGUAUCGUUACGACGAGAGAAAUAAAAGGAAAUGAAAUAAAGUUAGAUCGAUCGGAUAAUACCGGCUUUACUAAAUACUUAUGAACUUUUCGUCGUAAAGUCGGCUUUCGCCGAUCACGUGUAUUUAAAAUCGAUCGAAUUAAAAGAAUACCGAUUAAGAUUCCCAGCUCGUAAUCAAGCCGACCUUUCAUGAUAAAUUAAUUGCUAUUUCGGAGUGCCGUUAGAGCGCGUGAGCGUAAAAAUAGCUUUGGAUUGGUCGUCUCUUAGCUCGUGAUACGAAAGACGAGCCAGAGAAGUAGGUUUUCGACGUGAUCAAUCGAUCGCGCAUCAAUUACCAAUUACGAAUCGCGCUUGUGUACGCAUAGAAAUUUCAUUCGAGAUUUCAUUCGAGAUUCGUCGUAUCUACCUAUUUGCGUUCUACGACCUAGGAAUAUCUUUGAGAUUCGACUAGAUUCUCUUUCUCUCUGGUCGUACAAAGUCCGCCAAUUCGAUCGAUAAGUAAUUUCAGUGCGUUUAAGUUUCCGCGAAACGAGCCGUUCGAAGCUUUCUAAUCGCGAACACGCGAAUUUAUGAUCUUUCGGGUCGUACCUGCCGCUGCCGCCGCCGCUGCCGCUGCCGCCGCCGUGUAGCCGCGCCAUUUCCGGCGCGCAUGCCUUCCAGCGAGCAACGUAGCUUUCGUGAGAGAGCGCUCUCUCUCUCUCUCUCUCUCUCUCGCUAGUCGCUCGUUCGCUCGCUCUCUCGCCAUCGCCCUCCGCACCGGGAAGGGCAAGAUCGGAAAAUUAACGACCCCUCGAGCGUUAACUCCCGACUCCAGGUCGGCCUUCGGUCCGCUCCUUCGUUAAGUCCUUCCUCGGCUUCUCGCGACUCACGCAGCGUUUUAAGCCGUCCCCGUCUCUUCCCUGUCCCCCCUAUUUUACCACCACCGGCCCCUCCCCCCGACUCCACGUUCUCCUCCUCUUUCUUCCCACCGCCCGACCCCCCUCCUCAUUCCACCCAUAACCCUUCUCACCGCGACCUCCUACGCCGUGGCAAGCCACCCUCCUCUACGCCCGCUUCUCCUCGGCAUCGCCACGAACGCGCUACCCUUCGAGCUACGAAUCGCAGAUUGGUGGAACGACCGGUCGAUUAUCUAUAAUCGAUGCCGCCACUGCCGUCGCCAUCACCGCCAGCGAAGUCGUCGCUCUACGUGCUCCUUCUCUCUCUCUCUCUCUCUCUCUCUCUCUCUCUCUCUCAGCUACGCCUUCUGCGAACGAUGGAGCCGCUAUUCUAUCCACGUCACUGGAUUCUUAGCGAAUAUUUUUUUCCUUUUCUUUUUUCUUCUUUUUCUUUUUUCUUUUCCUUUCUUUUGCUAUUCUCUACAUGAACUAUAAUAAAGGAAACGAAAGGUACUCGAUCGCGAAAAACUUUGGGCUCGUUUGUUAAGAAAAAUCGAAACCUACCCAUAGAAUUUUACCUGUUCAGAGCCGGAGCAGGUAGAGAAGAUCGACGUGGAAAGUUUAAUAACGCGCAAAUCGAUUUUAUCGAACUUCCGAAGUACCUACACUCUUUCCGGUUUCCAAAAAUUUUCCUACCGUUCUUGGAUUCUUUUUUGUACUUUUUCACCGACUCGUUCAUUCGAAGGAUUCGUUCUUUCGAUCCAACGAAAUAUCGCCUCGUUGAAGAGGAUGAGAGAAAGAGAGAGAGAGACUAUAGAUUUAACCAAUUGAAAUUCUCAUUUCGCAUUCCGCCGCACAUUAUGUCGCGUAUUACCCAGUUCGACCAGUGAUACGAAGAGAAACGUAUAAAGAGAAUUGGGGAGACAUAGAAACGGAAGAUGAAGUGGAGAGGAGAAAAAGAUGGCCAGCUUAAACCCGAGAGUUCGAAAGAGACGAAGCAAUGUGUGCGAAAAAGAGUAUACGAGCGCGAAUGUGAAAAGGCAAGAGGAAGACAGAGAGGGAAGAGGUUUGUGCCAUCGCUCAUUCGACGAUUAUUGUACAAAGCAUAGCGCGGAAACUAUCUUUCCUCUUCAUUCAUAACUCUUUCUAGCGUAAUAGAGGGUCGCCAGGGUGAGAGAAAGUAAGAAGAAAGUAAACGAUAUACGUAUAGAUAGAUGGUAUGCCACAGGCAGUGGAAAGGAGAUAUGACGAGACGACGAGUCGAAGAAAAGGAGACUGAAAGAAGAGUGCAUUUUAUGAGCGAGUGAAUAAGAGAGAAAGGGUAUACUGAACCAAAGAAAGGGUAGA